GACGAACGCUGGCGGCGUGCUUAACACAUGCAAGUCGAACGGAAAGGCCCUGCUUGCAGGGUCCUCGAGUGGCGAACGGGUGAGUAACACGUGGGUGAUCUGCCCUGCACUUCGGGAUAAGCCUGGGAAACUGGGUCUAAUACCGGAUAGGAGCCAUUUUUAGUGUGAUGGUUGGAAAGUUUUUUCGGUGUAGGAUGAGCUCGCGGCCUAUCAGCUUGUUGGUGGGGUAAUGGCCUACCAAGGCGGCGACGGGUAGCCGGCCUGAGAGGGUGGACGGCCACAUUGGGACUGAGAUACGGCCCAGACGCCGACGGGAGGCAGAAGGGGGGAAUAUUGCACAAUGGGCGCAAGCCUGAUGCAGCGACGCCGCGGGGGGGAGGACGGCCUUCGGGUUGUAAAAUCCUUUCGCUAGGGACGAAGCUUUUUGUGACGGUACCUAGAGAAGAAGCACCGGCUAACUACGUG
rnacentral:rRNA from 1 species